UACAGAGGAGCCAAGCGUUGUCCGGAUUGACUGGGCGUAAAGCGCACGCAGGCGGUCGCGCGCGUGGGGUGUGAAAUCUGGCCGCUUAACGGCCAGGCGCCAUCCCAUACGGCGCGACUGGAGUGAUGCAGAGGUCGGUGGAAUUGCCGGUGUAGUGGUGAAAUGCGUAGAGAGUACGGCAGGAACACCCCAGGGGGAAACCAGCCGACUGGGCAUCUACUGACGCUGAGGUGCGAGAGCGUGGGGAGCGAACCGG
rnacentral:rRNA from 1 species